UCUGGUGGUGCGUGCCUGUAGUCCCAGCUACUUGGGAGGCUGAGGUGGGAGGAUCGCUUGAGCCUAGGAGUUCUGGGCUGUAGUGUACUAGGCUGAUAGGGUGUCCGCACUAAGUUCGGCAUCAAUAUGGUGACCUCCCGGGAGUGGGGGACCACCAGGUUGCCUAAGGAGGGGUGAACCAGCCCAGGUCGGAAACGGAGCAGGUCAAAAGUCCCUUGCUGAUCAGUAGUGGGAUUGCACCUGUGAAUAGCCACUGCAUUCCAUCCUGAGCAACAUAGAGAGACCCCAUCUCUA
ensembl:misc_RNA Metazoa_SRP Metazoan signal recognition particle RNA